UACAGAGGUCCCGAGCGUUAGGCGGAAUCACUGGGCUUAAAGCGUGUGUAGGCGGAUUUGUAAGUACCUUGUGAAAUCCCACGGCUCAACCGUGGAACUGCUUGGUAUACUGCUUAUCUUGGGCCAUCUAGGGGCUACCGGAACAAGUGGUGGAGCGGUGAAAUGCGUAGAUAUCACUUGGAACGCCAAUGGUGAAAACAGGUAGCUGGGGAUGUGCCGACGCUGAGACACGAAAGCCAGGGGAGCGAACGGG
rnacentral:rRNA from 1 species